rnacentral:rRNA from 1 species
GGAUUAGAUACCCUGGUAGUCCAUACCGUAAACGAUGAUUGUUAGAUGUUGGAAAUUUAUUUUCAGUAUCACAGCUAACGCGUUAAACAAUCCGCCUGGGGAGUACGACCGCAAGGUUAAAACUCAAAUGAAUUGACGGGGACCCGCACAAGCGGUGGAGCAUGUGGUUUAAUUCGAAGCUACGCGCAGAACCUUACCAACACUUGACAUGUCUGUCGCGGAUUCCAGAGAUGGAUUCCUUCGGUUCGGCCGGACAGAACACAGGUGCUGCAUGGCUGUCGUCAGCUCGUGCCG